UACGAAGGGGGCUAGCGUUGCUCGGAAUCACUGGGCGUAAAGCGCACGUAGGCGGAUCCUUAAGUCGGGGGUGAAGUCCUGGAGCUCAACUCCAGAACUGCCUUCGAUACUGAGGAUCUCGAGUCCGGGAGAGGUGAGUGGAACUGCGAGUGUAGAGGUGAAAUUCGUAGAUAUUCGCAAGAACACCAGUGGCGAAGGCGGCUCACUGGCCCGGUACUGACGCUGAGGUGCGAAAGCGUGGGGAGCAAACAGG
rnacentral:rRNA from 1 species